rnacentral:ncRNA from 1 species
CAUCUUAGAAAAAGACAUUCUUGUAUAUGAUCAGUAAUAUGGUCUGAUUGUUUCUACCUAGUAACCGUAAAAAACUAGACUACAAGAAAGUUUGAAUAAAUUU